rnacentral:rRNA from 1 species
CAGCCGCCGCGGGAACACGAAGGGUGCAAGCGUUACUCGGAAUUACUGGGCGUAAAGCGUGCGUAGGUGGUGGUUUAAGUCCGUUGUGAAAGCCCUGGGCUCAACCUGGGAAUUGCAGUGGAUACUGGAUCACUAGAGUGUGGUAGAGGAUAGUGGAAUUUCCGGUGUAGCAGUGAAAUGCGUAGAGAUCGGAAGGAACAUCUGUGGCGAAGGCGACUAUCUGGGCCAACACUGACACUGAGGCACGAAAGCGUGGGGAGCAAACAGGAUUAGAUACCCCGGUAGUCCCUGUCUCUUAUAC